rnacentral:misc_RNA from 1 species
GCAGUGUCGCGCGUCGUGACGCCGCAUCGUCAUCACGUUGCUCGUGUGGAGGAGUCGCGGGCGUCGUAAAGCAAUCGUAAAUCGCGAUGGAUGAUAUACAAGGUGUCUUAUACAUUAUGGUCCAAAAUGGGGAAGUGACAAAAGAGACACCGACGCCAUUUUAUAUCACAAACAAACAGCACUUGGAUCCAAGUAAGUUGGGUACUGUCCUACUCAACUUGGAUGUAACCUACUGAUCCAAGCGCACUUGGAUGAACUGUUGACACGAUCAAAGUAACGUCCAAGUGCUGCUCGCGGACAAUCCAAGUAUACUUGGAUCGUGUCAACCCGGCUUUAGCAACUCUAAGAAGCUGUGUUGAUCAACAUGACCCUCAAAGAAGUGAGGACCAAUCAAGUAACCACUUACAAUCCCACAACAGACCAUAAGGCUUCAGCGAUCUUGAUGAUCUACUUGUCUCUGCCAGUAAGGAUUUGCAUUUUAACCAAUAAUGCCAAUUAUGUCUAUUAAGUAGUCCGCCACUUCUAAAUAUUGCUUUAAUGUAUUGUGAUUUAAAAAAAUUAAAAUAUCUCACUCUAUUACUGUUAUAUAUUAUUCGAAUGUAAAAUAAAUUUAGUAUUUCGCAUAUACAAGAUUGCCAAAUGAUCCUUUUUACGGCUUAAACAUAACCAGGAUUAAGAAAAUACGGAAAUUAGACAAUUGCCUGCAAGACCAUUGACAAAAUUCAAGGCGCGCUUGCAUAUGGGUCACCUGGAAUGCUAAAACUAAAGUAAUGCAAUGUUAAAAUACAAUGUUAAAUUGUACACGAGUUUUGCAGACGGUAGCAGGCUGGGCGUUCGUAGCUAAGGAUUCAAUAUAAGUCACAGUUUGUA